CGUAGGGUCCGAGCGUUGUCCGGAAUUAUUGGGGCGUAAAGGGCUUGUAGGCGGUCAGUCGCGUCGGAAGUGAAACUCAGGGCUUAACCCUGAGCCUGCUUCCGAUACGGGCUGACUAGAGGGAUGCAGGGGAGAACGGAAUUCCUGGUGGAGCGGUGGAAUGCGCAGAUAUCAGGAGGAACACCGGUGGCGAAGGCGGUUCUCUGGGCAUCACCUGACGCUGAGAAGCGAAAGCGUGGGGAGCAAACAGGCUU
rnacentral:rRNA from 1 species